rnacentral:rRNA from 1 species
CAGUAGCCACGGUAAUACGUAGGUGGCAAGCGUUGUCCGGAAUUAUUGGGCGUAAAGGGCUCGCAGGCGGUUUCUUAAAUCUGAUGUGAAAGCCCCCGGCUCAACCGGGGAGGGUCAUUGGAAACUGGGAAACUUGAGUGCAGAAGAGGAGAGUGGAAUUCCACGUGUAGCGGUGAAAUGCGUAGAGAUGUGGAGGAACACCAGUGGCGAAGGCGACUCUCUGGUCUGUAACUGACGCUGAGGAGCGAAAGCGUGGGGAGCGAACAGGAUUAGAUACCCGAGUAGUCCCUGUCUCUUAUAA